rnacentral:other from 1 species
UGACUACUGUGUUGUUUGUCAGUAUUCGGGUAUCCCUUGAGCCUAUUUAUAUUACCCGGGAAUGAUUGUGGAGUAGCUGUGUGCAUGACCGGUUUACGGUAAGCCUAAUACUAUUCUCAUGACUCCCACUUGAACCCUUGGUUCAAGGUCAAUGUCUACAACGGCGACUUGGUUUUCAU